UACGGAGGAGCUAGCGUUGUUCGGAAUUACUGGGCGUGAAGCGCGCGUAGGCGGCUUUGUAAGUUAGAGGUGAAAAGCCCGGGGCUCAACUCCGGAACUGCCUUUAAGAUACUGUCAUCGCUUGAAUCCGGGAGAAGGUGAGUGGAAUUCCGAGUGUAGAGGUGAAAUUCGUAGAUAUUCGGAAGAACACCAGUGGCGAAGGCGGCCCGCUGGACAUGUAUUGACGCUGAGGUGCGAAAGCGUGGGGAGCAAACAGG
rnacentral:rRNA from 1 species